CCUACGGGAGGAGGCAGCAGCUAAGAAUAUUCCGCAAUGGACGAAAGUCUGACGGAGCGACGCCGCGUGGAUGAUGAAGGCCGAAAGGUUGUAAAAUCCUUUUGUUGGGGAAGAAUAACCAUGGGAGGGAAUGCCCGUGGGAUGACAUGAACCGACGAAUAAGUCCCGGCUAACUCCGUGCCAGCAGCCGCGGUAAU
rnacentral:rRNA from 2 species